AGUGAACGCUGGCGGUAGGCCUAACACAUGCGAGUCGAACGGCAGCACAGUAAGAGCUUGCUCUUACGGGUGGCGAGUGGCGGACGGGUGAGGAAUACAUCGGAAUCUACUUUUUCGUGGGGGAUAACGUAGGGAAACUUACGCUAAUACCGCAAACGACCUACGGGUGAAAGCAGGGGAUCUUCGGACCUUGCGCGAUUGAAUGAGCCGAUGUCGGAUUAGCUAGUUGGCGGGGUAAAGGCCCACCAAGGCGACGAUCCGUAGCUGGUCUGAGAGGAUGAUCAGCCACACUGGAACUGAGACACGGUCCAGACUCCUACGGGAGGCAGCAGUGGGGAAUAUUGGACAAUGGGCGCAAGCCUGAUCCAGCCAUACCGCGUGGGUGAAGAAGGCCUUCGGGUUGUAAAGCCCUUUUGUUGGGAAAGAAAAGCAGCAGGUUAAUACCCCGCUGUUCUGACGGUACCCAAAGAAUAAGCACCGGCUAACUUCGUG
rnacentral:rRNA from 1 species